AACGAACGCUGGCGGCAUGCCUAACACAUGCAAGUCGAACGAGACCUCCGGGUCUAGUGGCGCACGGGUGCGUAACGCGUGGGAACCUGCCCUUAGGUUCGGAAUAACUCCCCGAAAGGGGUGCUAAUACCGGAUAAUGUCUUCGGACCAAAGAUUUAUCGCCUUUGGAUGGGCCCGCGUUGGAUUAGCUAGUUGGUAGGGUAAAAGCCUACCAAGGCGACGAUCCAUAGCUGGUCUGAGAGGAUGAUCAGCCACACUGGGACUGAGACACGGCCCAGACUCCUACGGGAGGCAGCAGUGGGGAAUAUUGGACAAUGGGCGAAAGCCUGAUCCAGCAAUGCCGCGUGAGUGAUGAAGGCCUUAGGGUUGUAAAGCUCUUUUACCCGGGAUGAUAAUGACAGUACCGGGAGAAUAAGCUCCGGCUAGCUCCGUG
rnacentral:rRNA from 1 species